GAUGAACGCUGGCGGCGUGCCUAAUACAUGCAAGUCGAGCGAACAGAUGAGGAGCUUGCUCCUCUGACGUUAGCGGCGGUCGGGUGAGUAACACGUGGAUAACCUACUUCUAAGACUGGGAUAACUUCGGGAAACCGGAGCUAAUACCGGAUAAUAUAUUGAACCGCAUGGUUCAAUAGUGAAAGACGGUUUUGCUGUCACUUAUAGAUGGAUCCGCGUCGCAUUAGCUAGUUGGUAAGGUAACGGCUUACCAAGGCAACGAUGCGUAGCCGACCUGAGAGGGUGAUCAGCCACACUGGAACUGAGACACGGUCCAGACUCCUACGGGAGGCAGCAGUAGGGAAUCUUCCGCAAUGGGCGAAAGCCUGACGGAGCAACGCCGCGUGAGUGAUGAAGGUCUUCGGAUCGUAAAACUCUGUUAUUAGGGAAGAACAAAUGUGUAAGUAACUAUGCACGUCUUGACGGUACCUAAUCAGAAAGCCACGGCUAACUACGUG
rnacentral:rRNA from 1 species